UAUCGUCCACAAAACCAAAAUUUCUCUGGGCAGCAGUUUCGUCCACAAUCUGUUCAAUGUCAAAUAAAUUUAUUAUGGACAACAAUCCAAUCAAACAAGACAGCCAUCGGUAUAAAGUCGUCGAAACUAUUCAAAUCAAAACCAUUCUAAUUACUCGAGUCAGCAAAGAAGCUCGGUAAAUAAUAGACAACAUUUACAAAGAAGGGAACCAGAGCCCAGGGACGUGGGCACAAUGAGUAGAAGAGGUGAUCCACAAGAAUCAAAUAUGAACGAAGUGUUUUUUACAAACUAUUUUAUGCUUUGAUCGACUCAGGCUCAACGAUAAGCGUAAUGGAAAAAUCUCUUGAGAAAACUAUUGAAAUAGAAUACGUAAAUGGAAAAAAUAAUGUUGUAGCUGAUUUCUUAAGUCGAAUUGAAACCUCACCAAUAAUAAAAGAAGGUAACGACAAUGAAUCAAACCUGGAAUUGUCAGAAACAAUUAAUUAAACAGAUGAGGAACUGCCUGAACACUUCUCAACUAAAGAAGACUUUCUAAAUAAAUACAAAAUUUAAAUUAUAUUGACACAUAGCCCAAAAGCUCAGAUGCAAAGACUCUAUGGAAGAAAAAUAAUUGAAAUAAACCUAAUGGAUGAAGAAAAAGAGAACAAGGAAACAUUAAAAAAAUGUAUAAAAGGAAGCGGAAUAGUGAGAAUAUUUUCAGAAGUGUCUGAAGCUAAUUAUCAUGAACUACAGAAAUUACUCAGUUUAAAAUUUGUAAAAUGCACAAAAAGAGCGUCAGAAAUAGAAAAGAAGAGAAAUUACAUAAACAAAUAUCACUGUACCAUAAAAAGUAAUCUAUGCAUAGUGGUAUAAAUGAAACCUAUAAUGCAUUAAAAGAUAAAUUAUAUUAUCCGAAAUUCAAGGCAGAAAUACAAUUGAUAAUAAACGACAAAAAUUUCAUCUAACUGAAACUCCAACCAAUAAAAAUGAGAUAGUUCAUAUAAACAUAUUCCAUUUCCACAGAAGAACACAUAGAAAACACAGAAACUUGGCCGAUUAAAAACUACAAAAUAGUACGGCAUAAAGAUCAACCAUAUUACCGAAUUAAUCCACUGCAAAAUGUUCACCCGGCAUAUAUAAAAAUACCAAGGAAAUUGGCAAAUAUAGAAAACCCAAACGAGAAAGAUGUUGAUGCAUUUAGUUUAAAGCAUUUAAUGUGGGUACCAGGUUUUCCAAGAAUAUACCCAUGAUGGCGGGGAUAAUUAUUUUUUUUACUUACUUACACUUUUGCAAAUCACAGCAAUAAUAAAAGAAGCGGGGUAUAUAAUGAUACAAAAGGAUGACACAGAAAUAGUUAAUGAAAUAAGUACAGUUAUACAUUAUAAAUCCGAACAAAAUUACAGAAAUAGUUGAACAGAUUAAAGAAAAUAUCGGAC